rnacentral:rRNA from 1 species
UACGGAGGGAGCUAGCGUUGUUCGGAAUUACUGGGCGUAAAGGGCGCGUAGGCGGCCUGUUAAGUCGAACGUGAAAUCCCCGGGCUCAACCCGGGAACUGCGUCCGAUACUGGCAGGCUUGAAUCCGGGAGAGGGAUGCGGAAUUCCAGGUGUAGCGGUGAAAUGCGUAGAUAUCUGGAGGAACACCGGUGGCGAAGGCGGCAUCCUGGACCGGCAUUGACGCUGAGGCGCGAAAGCCAGGGGAGCAAACGGG